CGGAAUCUACUUUUUCGUGGGGGAUAACGUAGGGAAACUUACGCUAAUACCGCAUACGACCUACGGGUGAAAGCAGGGGACCUUCGGGCCUUGCGCGAUUGAAUGAGCCGAUGUCGGAUUAGCUAGUUGGCGGGGUAAAGGCCCACCAAGGCGACGAUCCGUAGCUGGUCUGAGAGGAUGAUCAGCCACACUGGAACUGAGACACGGUCCAGACUCCUACGGGAGGCAGCAGUGGGGAAUAUUGGACAAUGGGCGCAAGCCUGAUCCAGCCAUACCGCGUGGGUGAAGAAGGCCUUCGGGUUGUAAAGCCCUUUUGUUGGGAAAGAAAUCCAGCCGGCUAAUACCUGGUUGGGAUGACGGUACCCAAAGAAUAAGCACCGGCUAACUUCGUGCCAGCAGCCGCGGUAAUACGAAGGGUGCAAGCGUUACUCGGAAUUACUGGGCGUAAAGCGUGCGUAGGUGGUUGUUUAAGUCUGUUGUGAAAGCCCUGGGCUCAACCUGGGAACUGCAGUGGAAACUGGACGACUAGAGUGUGGUAGAGGGUAGCGGAAUUCCUGGU
rnacentral:rRNA from 1 species